CCCUCGUUAGCUCAGUUGGUAGAGCGCUCCACUGGAAAUGGAGAGGUCCCGGAUUUUUCCGGACCAGGCG
rnacentral:tRNA from 1 species